AGUGAACGCUGGCGGUAGGCCUAACACAUGCAAGUCGAACGGCAGCACAGUAAGAGCUUGCUCUUACGGGUGGCGAGUGGCGGACGGGUGAGGAAUACAUCGGAAUCUACUUUUUCGUGGGGGAUAACGUAGGGAAACUUACGCUAAUACAGCAUACGACCUACGGGUGAAAGCAGGGGAUCUUCGGACCUUGCGCGAUUGAAUGAGCCGAUGUCGGAUUAGCUAGUUGGCGGGGUAAAGGCCCACCAAGUCGACGAUCCGUAGCUGGACUGAGAGGAUGAUCAGCGACACUGGAACUGAGACACGGUCCAGACUCCUACGGGAGGCAGCAGUGGGGAAUAUGGGACAAUGGGCGAAAGCCUGAUCCAGCCAUACCGCGUGGGUGAAGAAGGCCUUCGGUUUGUAAAGCCCUUUUGUUGGGAAAGAAAAGCAGCAGGUUAAUACCCCGCUGUUCUGACGGUACCCAAAGAAUAAGCACCGGCUAACUUCGUG
rnacentral:rRNA from 1 species